CAAGCCACACAGUGGUGAAAUGGUCCAUCUGUGAAUGUGAACCAGUGGAACCAGACAGUGCACGGUCUGGUCCACUCUGUCCUCCCUUGAACAACCUUACAAUCAAGAAGUUCAGACACCAGAACUUGUCAAUUAUAAGAUGGCCUUGCUUGUUACCUUAGACGCUCCAGGAACAUUUCUUCUGAAUAGUGUAUACGCACCUUCAAACAUGUUUUGUCGGAAGAAAACUGGUCAAUCAAUGGUGUGUACAAUAUUUUAUGUGCUGUUUAAUAUUCAUCCAAUUUGACUGAGCCAUAUUAGACCAAAAGUGUAGUGUGUGUGCACCUUUGACCAUACUUUUGCUUUUUUUUUCAUCAGCAUGUACAAUGAAACUUGUCAGGUGUCUUGCUGCAUACUUUAUGCAUAAUUUCCU